GGGGGCCUGUGAAAUCAGUUUGUUGCAAUUUGACGUGACUGGAAUUGUUGCACUAUUUGCGGGCCCAGAGAGAUACUUCCGGAUUAAUCAUAGGCUAUAGCUGGUCAUCAAUACCAUAGCUUAUUUCAUGGCCGGCAGACAUAU
rnacentral:snoRNA from 1 species